AACCUUACCUGGAGGGAAAGAUAACAUGAUCACAAAGGUGGUUUUCCCAGGGUGAGGCUUAUUCAUUGCAAAUCGGGUGUUCUGACCCCAGCUAUUUCCUCAAAUGUGGGAAACCAGCAGCAUAAUUUGUGGUAUUGGGGACUGUGUUUAUGCUCCCCU
rnacentral:snRNA from 1 species